AAAAAGAUAAGCUAAAUUAAGCUUUUGGGCUCAUACCCCAACGAUAGUAAACAAUACUUCUUUUUA
rnacentral:tRNA from 1 species